rnacentral:rRNA from 1 species
UAGGGAAUAUUAGUAAUGGGCGAAAGCCUGAACUAGCAACGCCGCGUGUGCGAAGAAGGCCUUCGGGUUGUAAAGCACUUUUUGAGAGGAUGAGGAAGGACGGUACUCUCAGAAUAAGUCUCGGCUAACUACGUGCCAGCAGCCGCGGUAACACGUAGGAGGCAAACGUUAUCCGGAUUUACUGGGCGUAAAGCGCGUGUAGGUGGUUUGGUAAGUAGGGCGUGAAAGCUCCUGGCUCAACUGGGAGAGGCCGUUCUAACUGCCGAACUAGAGGAUGGUAGAGGGAGGUGGAAUUCCGGGUGUAGCGGUGGAAUGCGCAGAUAUCCGGAGGAACACCAGUGGCGAAAGCGGCCUCCUGGACCAUUCCUGACACUCAGACGCGAAAGCUAGGGUAGCAAAC